rnacentral:rRNA from 1 species
GAUGAACGCUGGCGGCAUGCCUAAGACAUGCAAGUCGAACGAGACGACCUUUGGAAGACUGAGUACUUGUACGAAGUUAGAAAAAGAUCAUCGUCUAGUGGCAGACGGGUGAGUAACACGUGGGUAACCUACCUUCAAGCUGGGGAUAACGUUUGGAAACGAACGCUAAUACCGAAUAAGAUAUAGCAAUAUAUUGAAAGAAGCCUUUAAAGCUUCACUUAAAGAUGGGCCUGCGGCGUAUUAACUAGUUGGUGAGGUAAUGGCUCACCAAGGUAACGAUGCGUAGCCGAACUGAGAGGUUGAACGGCCACACUGGGACUGAGACACGGCCCAAACUCCUACGGGAGGCAGCAGUGGGGAAUCUUCCGCAAUGGGCGCAAGCCUGACGGAGCAACGCCGCGUGAAGGAAGAAGGUUUUCGGAUUGUAAACUUCUGUUCUUAGGGAAGAAUAAAUGACGGUACCUAAGGAGCAAGCCACGGCUAACUACGUG